CGUGAUAAAGUUAACUUUUAGCACUUACCAUCAGUGCUACAUUCUAAGCACAAAACUGAACUGAAUAAGUUAUCAUCUGAGAGACAACAACAAUGGUAAAAUGCAAUCAAAUAUAAAGGUGUUACUAGCAAAAUGAAAAUUCUCCUGUCUCCUGUAACCAUUUUAUAUCUGGAAAACCAGCCGACUUAACUGAUAAUAACAAUCCAGAUUUAGUUCCUUCAAUAAAUAUGGGGUAUAUAAACACAAUGAAAUGAGUUCCCCAAAAUCUAAAAUGGAGCAGUAUCAAAGGAGAAUUAAAAGAAAAGGGUACCUACAAGAAAAAAUUGCUUUUUUUAUUCCUCUUGAAAUGAUUUAUAAGACACUGGACUGUCUUAUAUUCUACAAAUACUAGAAUCAGCUGAGAGAAGUGUCUACAAAAAACUAGGAAGGAAACGGAAUAUAUGGCUACGAAAGGCAAAAGAAAG